rnacentral:lncRNA from 1 species
GUUGGGAUUGUCUCUUGUAUCUGCUGGUGUGGCUGUGUUUGUUUCUCUUUUAUUUGAUGGGUAAUAUGUAAACAAAAAUCAUUGUUAGUUGUAUUUAUCAGAGUUUGUAACUUACUCUGCUUUUUUAUAUAGGUAAUUUCACUGAUCUUGGUUAUCGUCUUCAUAUUCUUCGUAAUCAUCUGCGAAAAUAAGUUUGUAAAUUGUUAAAUAGUUGGCCCUGUAGUUUGUAUUUGUUUAGCUUGCUCAAUGUAUGUGUCGUUGAGUUUUAGUUGAGUUGAUUGGUUGGUAUAUUUGUUUUGAAGUUUAUUUGUAAGAUUAGACAAAAAGAGAGGUGAUCAUUAAUGAUUCGUCUUUUUUGAGAUUCUAGUUUUUGGUGUUUUGAUUGUUUGGGUUAUUGUGGUUUCUUUUAAGAUGUAAAAUAAAGAUUUGUGUAAAAUUAGAUUGAUAAGUAAUGGAGAUAAAUAGAAGACCACAAAUCUUGGGUAGAAAAUAUUUUUGAUUAUUGAUGUUAGCACAAUAUAGACAGUAAUAUAAAGAGAAUUAUGUGUUGAUUGUUUCUUACGGAUCAAUGAUGAGACGGAUGACGACCCGAGUUGUUUCUUUGGUGAGGUCAGAGCCCUGGACAAAACGGAUUUGCCCAACCACAUCUGCGAGUUUAAAUAUCAGUUAU